rnacentral:rRNA from 1 species
GAGUAGUAAAGGUUUAGGUCCUUAAACUUAAAAGAUUUGGCGGUAUUUUAUCUUACUAGAGGAACCUGUUUAAUUGUUGAUAAUCCACAAUAUAUUUACUUUUAUUAUUUUACUUGUAUACCGCUGUCAUGAAUAUAUUUAAAAGUUUAUUUUCAUUAAAAUUUAUGUUAGGUCAAGGUGCAGUUUAUAAAGAUAAAUGGGUUACAUUAUUAGAAUGGAGUGAAAAUGGAUUUAGAAGUAAAAUAUUAUAAAUAAUGAAUUUAGAUUCUAAAAUAUG